rnacentral:rRNA from 1 species
ACCCGAGGCCUGCAUUUGAAACUGAUCUUCCUGAGUAUCGGAGAGGAAAGCGGAACUCCAGGUGUAGCGGUGAAAUGCGUAGAUAUCUGGAGGAACACCUGUGGCGAAGGCGGCUUUCUGGCCGAAUACUGACGCUCAUGCACGAAGGCUAGGGGAGCAAACAGGAUUAGAUACCCUGGUAGUCCUAGCGGUAAACGAUGGGCACUAGGUGUCGGGGGUAUCGACCCCCUCGGUGCCGCAGCUAACGCAUUAAGUGCCCCGCCUGGGGAGUACGGCCGCAAGGCUGAAACUCAAAGGAAUUGACGGGGGCCCGCACAAGCAGUGGAGUAUGUGGUUUAAUUCGAUGCAACGCGAAGAACCUUACCUGGGCUUGACAUGCUGGUGAAAGCCGGUGGAAACAUCGGCCCCUCUUCGG